rnacentral:rRNA from 1 species
GGUUAAGUUAGAAAGGGCGCACGGUGGAUGCCUUGGCACUAGGAGCCGAUGAAGGACGGGACGAACACCGAUAUGCUUCGGGGAGCUGUAAGCAAGCUUUGAUCCGGAGAUUUCCGAAUGGGGAAACCCACUGCUCGUAAUGGAGUAGUAUCCAUACUUGAAUACAUAGAGUAUGAGAAGGCAUACCCGGGGAACUGAAACAUCUAAGUACCCGGAGGAAGAGAAAGCAAAUGCGAUUCCCUGAGUAGCGGCGAGCGAAACGGGAACAGCCCAAACCAAGAGGCUUGCCUCUUGGGGUUGUAGGACACUCUAUACGGAGUUACAAAGGAACGAUAUAAGCGAAGAGGUCUGGAAAGGCCCGCCAAAGAAGGUAACAGCCCUGUAACUGAAAUGUUGUUCUCUCCAGAGUGGAUCCUGAGUACGGCGGAACACGUGAAAUUCCGUCGGAAUCCGGGAGGACCAUCUCCCAAGGCUAAACAUUCCCUAGUGACCGAUAGUGAACCAGUACCGUGAGGGAAAGGUGAAAAGCACCCCGGAAGGGAGUGAAAUAGAUCCUGAAACCGUGUGCCUACAAGUAGUCAGAGCCCGUUAACGGGUGAUGGCGUGCCUUUUGUAGAAUGAACCGGCGAGUUACGAUCCCGUGCAAGGUUAAGCAGAAGAUGCGGAGCCGCAGCGAAAGCGAGUCUGAAUAGGGCGCAUGAGUACGUGGUCGUAGACCCGAAACCAGGUGAUCUACCCAUGUCCAGGGUGAAGUUCAGGUAACACUGAAUGGAGGCCCGAACCCACGCACGUUGAAAAGUGCGGGGAUGAGGUGUGGGUAGGGUGAAAUGCCAAUCGAACCUGGAGAUAGCUGGUUCUCUCCGAAAUAGCUUUAGGGCUAGCCUCAAGGUAAGAGUCUCGGAGGUAGAGCACUGAUUGGACUAGGGGCCCCUACCGGGUUACCGAAUUCAGUCAAACUCCGAAUGCCGAUGACUUAUCCUUGGGAGUCAGACUGCGAGUGAUAAGAUCCGUAGUCGAAAGGGAAACAGCCCAGACCGCCAGCUAAGGUCCCAAAGUAUACGUUAAGUGGAAAAGGAUGUGGAGUUGCUUAGACAACCAGGAUGUUGGCUUAGAAGCAGCCACCAUUUAAAGAGUGCGUAAUAGCUCACUGGUCGAGUGACUCUGCGCCGAAAAUGUACCGGGGCUAAACGUAUCACCGAAGCUGCGGACUGUUCUACGAACAGUGGUAGGAGAGCGUUCUAAGUGCAGUGAAGUCAGACCGGAAGGACUGGUGGAGCGCUUAGAAGUGAGAAUGCCGGUAUGAGUAGCGAAAGACGGGUGAGAAUCCCGUCCACCGAAUGCCUAAGGUUUCCUGAGGAAGGCUCGUCCGCUCAGGGUUAGUCGGGACCUAAGCCGAGGCCGAAAGGCGUAGGCGAUGGACAACAGGUUGAUAUUCCUGUACCACCUCCUCACCAUUUGAGCAAUGGGGGGACGCAGGAGGAUAGGGUAAGCGCGGUAUUGGAUAUCCGCGUCCAAGCAGUUAGGCUGGGAAAUAGGCAAAUCCGUUUCCCGUGAAGGCUGAGCUGUGAUGGCGAGCGAAAUUUAGUAGCGAAGUUCCUGAUUCCACACUGCCAAGAAAAGCCUCUAGCGAGGUGAGAGGUGCCCGUACCGCAAACCGACACAGGUAGGCGAGGAGAGAAUCCAAGGUGAUCGAGAGAACUCUCGUUACGAACUCGGCAAAAUGACCCCGUAACUUCGGGAGAAGGGGUGCUUCUUAGGGUGUUAAAGCCCCGAGAAGCCGCAGUGAAUAGGCCCAGGCGACUGUUUAGCAAAAACACAGGUCUCUGCGAAGCCGUAAGGCGAAGUAUAGGGGCUGACGCCUGCCCGGUGCUGGAAGGUUAAGAGGAGCGCUUAGCGUAAGCGAAGGUGCGAAUUGAAGCCCCAGUAAACGGCGGCCGUAACUAUAACGGUCCUAAGGUAGCGAAAUUCCUUGUCGGGUAAGUUCCGACCCGCACGAAAGGCGCAACGAUCUGGGCACUGUCUCUUAGCGUAAGCGAAGGUGCGAAUUGAAGCCCCAGUAAACGGGGGCUGUCUUUGUUGGAAAGACCCCGUGGAGCUUUACUGCAGCCUGAUAUUGAAUGUUGGUACAGCUUGUACAGGAUAGGUAGGAGCCUUGGAAACCGGAGCGCUAGCUUCGGUGGAGGCAUCGGUGGGAUACUACCCUGGCUGUAUUGACCUUCUAACCCGCUGCCCUUAUCGGGCCAGUAGACAGUGUCAGGUGGGCAGUUUGACUGGGGCGGUCGCCUCCUAAAAUGUAACGGAGGCGCCCAAAGGUUCCCUCAGAAUGGUUGGAAAUCAUUCGCAGAGUGUAAAGGCACAAGGGAGCUUGACUGCGAGACCUACAAGUCGAGCAGGGACGAAAGUCGGGCUUAGUGAUCCGGUGGUUCCGCAUGGAAGGGCCAUCGCUCAACGGAUAAAAGCUACCCCGGGGAUAACAGGCUUAUCUCCCCCAAGAGUCCACAUCGAGGGGAGGUUUGGCACCUCGAUGUCGGCUCAUCGCAUCCUGGGGCUGUAGUCGGUCCCAAGGGUUGGGCUGUUCGCCCAUUAAAGCGGUACGCGAGCUGGGUUCAGAACGUCGUGAGACAGUUCGGUCCCUAUCCGUCGCGGGCGCAGGAAAUUUGAGAGGAGCUGUCCUUAGUACGAGAGGACCGGGAUGGACGCACCGCUGGUGUACCAGUUGUUCUGCCAAGGGCAUCGCUGGGUAGCUAUGUGCGGACGGGAUAAGUGCUGAAAGCAUCUAAGCAUGAAGCCCCCCUCAAGAUGAGAUUUCCCAUUCCGCAAGGAAGUAAGAUCCCUGAAAGAUGAUCAGGUUGAUAGGUCUGAGGUGGAAGCGUGGUGACACGUGGAGCUGACAGAUACUAAUAGAUCGAGGACUUAACCUA